CGAAAGCCUGACGGGAGCAAGACCGCGUGAGGGAGGAAGGCUCUAGGGUUGUAAACCUCUUUUCUCAGGGAAGAAGCUCUGACGGUACCUGAGGAAUCAGCAUCGGCUAACUCCGUGCCAGCAGCCGCGGUAAUACGGAGGAUGCAAGCGUUAUCCGGAAUUAUUGGGCGUAAAGCGUUCGCAGGUGGCUGUUCAAGUCUGCUGUCAAAGCCCGGGGCUUAACCCUGGAAAGGCGGUGGAAACUGAGUAGCUAGAGUGCAGUAUGGGUAGAGGGAAUUCCCAGUGUAGCGGUGAAAUGCGUAGAGAUUGGGAAGAACACCGGUGGCGAAAGCGCUCUGCUGGACUGCAACUGACACUGAGGGACGAAAGCUAGGGGAGCG
rnacentral:rRNA from 1 species